UGCACGGUGGCGCAGUCGGUAGCACUGUUGCCUUGCAUCAAGAAGGUCCUGGGUUCAAUUCCCGGCCGGGGGUCUUUCUGCAU